rnacentral:rRNA from 1 species
AACGAACGCUGGCGGCAUGCCUAACACAUGCAAGUCGAACGAUUAAAGCUCUCUUCGGAGAGUGUAUAGAGUGGCGCACGGGUGAGUAACACGUAAGUAAUCUACCCUCGAGUGGGGAAUAACAACCGGAAACGGUUGCUAAUACCGCAUAAUGCAGCGGCACCGCAAGGUGACAGUUGUUAAAGAUUUAUCGCUUGAGGAGGAGCUUGCGGCAGAUUAGCUAGUUGGUAGGGUAACGGCUUACCAAGGCUACGAUCUGUAACCGGUCUAAGAGGACGGUCGGUCACACUGACACUGAAUAACGGGUCAGACUCCUACGGGAGGCAGCAGUCGGGAAUUUUGGGCAAUGGGCGAAAGCCUGACCCAGCAACGCCGCGUGAAGGAUGAAGUAUUUCGGUAUGUAAACUUCGAAAGAAUAGGAAGAAUUAAUGACGGUACUAUUUAUAAGGUCCGGCUAACUACGUG